rnacentral:rRNA from 1 species
CCCCGGGCUUAACCUGGGAACUGCGUUNUGAACUGGGUAGCUAGAGUAUGUCAGAGGGGGGUAGAAUUCCACGUGUAGCAGUGAAAUGCGUAGAGAUGUGGAGGAAUACCGAUGGCGAAGGCAGCCCCCUGGGAUAAUACUGACGUUCAUGCUCGAAAGCGUGGGUAGCAAACAGGAUUAGAUACCCUGGUAGUCCACGCCCUAAACGAUGUCGAUUAGCUGUUGGGCAACUUGAUUGCUUAGUAGCGUAGCUAACGCGUGAAAUCGACCGCCUGGGGAGUACGGUCGCAAGAUUAAAACUCAAAGGAAUUGACGGGGACCCGCACAAGCGGUGGAUGAUGUGGAUUAAUUCGAUGCAACGCGAAGAACCUUACCUGGUCUUGACAUGUACGGAAGAACUCAGAGACGAGUUUGUGCCUUCGGGAGCCGUAACACAGGUGCUGCAUGGCUGUCGUCAGCUCGUGUCGUGAGAUGUUGGGUUAAGUCCCGCAACGAGCGCAACCCUUGUCAUUAGUUGCCAUCAUUUAGUUGGGCACUCUAAUGAGACUGCCGGUGACAAACCGGAGGAAGGUGGGGAUGACGUCAAGUCCUCAUGGCCCUUAUGACCAGGGCUUCACACGUCAUACAAUGGUCGGUACAGAGGGUAGCCAAGCCGCGAGGUGGAGCCAAUCCCAGAAAACCGAUCGUAGUCCGGAUUGCACUCUGCAACUCGAGUGCAUGAAGUCGGAAUCGCUAGUAAUCGCAGGUCAGCAUACUGCGGUGAAUACGUUCCCGGGUCUUGUACACACCGCCCGUCACACCGUGGGAGUGGGGGAUACCAGAAGUAGGUAGGGUAACCGCAAGGAGCCCGCU